rnacentral:rRNA from 1 species
UGGGGAAUAUUGCACAAUGGGCGCAAGCCUGAUGCAGCCAUGCCGCGUGUAUGAAGAAGGCCUUCGGGUUGUAAAGUACUUUCAGCGAGGAGGAAGGCGUUGUGGUUAAUAACCGCAACGAUUGACGUUACUCGCAGAAGAAGCACCGGCUAACUCCGUGCCAGCAGCCGCGGUAAUACGGAGGGUGCAAGCGUUAAUCGGAAUUACUGGGCGUAAAGCGCACGCAGGCGGUCUGUCAAGUCGGAUGUGAAAUCCCCGGGCUCAACGUGGGAACUGCAUCCGAAACUGGCAGGCUAGAGUCUUGUAGAGGGGGGUAGAAUUCCAGGUGUAGCGGUGAAAUGCGUAGAGAUCUGGAGGAAUACCGGUGGCGAAGGCGGCCCCCUGGACAAAGACUGACGCUCAGGUGCGAAAGCGUGGGGAGCAAACA